GGUACCUGCACUCGCUGCGGUGCAGCGAUGGUCAAGGA
rfam:Carboxydothermus hydrogenoformans Z-2901, complete genome.